UGCUAUGGUUCGCACUGGGAUUUCACAGCA
rnacentral:piRNA from 1 species